rnacentral:rRNA from 1 species
UACGGAGGGGGCUAGCGUUGUUCGGAAUUACUGGGCGUAAAGCGCGCGUAGGCGGACCUGCAAGUCGGGGGUGAAAGCCCGAGGCUCAACCUCGGAACUGCCUUCGAUACUGCGGGUCUCGAGUCCGGGAGAGGUGAGUGGGAAUUCCUAGUGUAGAGGUGAAAUUCGUAGAUAUUAGGAAGAACACCAGUGGCGAAGGCGGCUCACUGGUCCGGUACUGACGCUGAGGUGCGAAAGCGUGGGGAGCAAACAGG